UACGUAGGGUGCGAGCGUUAAUCGGAAUUACUGGGCGUAAAGCGUGCGCAGGCGGUUCGUUGUGUCGGCGGUGAAAGCCCCGGGCUCAACCUGGGAAUGGCCGUUGAAACUGGCGAACUGGAGUGUGGCAGAGGGGGGUGGAAUUCCGCGUGUAGCAGUGAAAUGCGUAGAGAUGUGGAGGAACACCAGUGGCGAAGGCGACUCUUUGGCCUGUAACUGACGCUGAGGCGCGAAAGCGUGGGGAGCAAACAGG
rnacentral:rRNA from 1 species